UUGUAUCGAAGCCCAUAUAUAUUCCCAGUGUUGGCCCAAAAGAACUUCAUCUUAUAUAAACGAAGCAAAGUUACAUAGAUAAUAAAGGGCUGUAUAGACAUAGCGCCUGAUCGUCUAGCUCAUUUGGUUGGGUGGCUAAUUCUACACGUCUCCAUCUCAUGAGUUCGAUCAAAGGUAGGAGAGAGAAAGAAGAAGAAGAGAGAUUGUGAAGUGUGGAUGUGCUCACAUGUAUCAUGUAUCAUGUCUAUGUAUCAUUUGAGGUAUUCCUAAAUACCUCUCUUUUUCCCCUCCUUUUUUCUGAAGUCAUCUAAAUUUUAUUUAAACAAUUAAAUAAAGACAGACAAUGAAAAUCAUACCAAGGAAUAGGAUAUCAAACCUACAUAAAUCAAACAUGCAGUAAAUAUUUGGUUUGUGAUAAGUGAUAAGUUUUUUUUUAUUAAUUAGUGUCUAAACAAAAAUGAAGAUUAAAAUUACUUGUUAAUAUUAGUGCAGUUUAAAUUUUCAUAUAAACAGAAUCUUGAGUAAAAUAUUUGUGUCCUAUCAAUGGUAACUGUAGCAUUAAGGGAGUAGAUUUAACUGUAACGAGAAUUUGGAUUUUAUGGAUUUAUUAAUCUUUACAUCUUAUAAACUUUCUAGACGAUUAGGUUCAAAUAAUUAGAUAGGUUGUACGCAUUAAUCUAAAAGAAGAAAAAAGUUCUACACCUUCAAAUACUUCAUUCAUAUAUAGAAAAGCCCACAUACAUACAGAUAGAGAGCACCUUUUAUUGUUUCUACAUAUUAUAGAUAACUUUAGGGUAGAGCUAAUUAGAAACUAAAAAGUCCUUAAUUAUAAGGCUUUUUUUUUACAAGCAUUAACUAUAUUAGGCUUUAUAUAACUUUAGGGUAGAGCUAAUUAAGAUGCGGUUAUUUUAGAGGUCAAUGCUUUUAAUGAGCUUUCAUGUUGGCGAGUCUCUCGAGAAAGACAUUGAAAACAUCUUCACGACUCAGCAUACUGACUCGGACAUGCUUCUUGUCAGAACCACAACGUUCUCCUGCUCUGCUCAUAACCUUUUGUCUCCUCAAAUCACUUACCAGAUCCGUCUCUUCCUUCGUCCCCAGCCAAGCAAACGCUGUAACCACAUAUGUUAAAAAAAAAAAAAACAACCAACAACCGUUACCUCUUAUUCAAUUUACAAAAAUCCAACCGUUACAACAAAAAUAAAAACAUUCGUUACUUAGUGAAGUAAUUAAUUACCAGGGUAAGAUUCGAGUGUUUUGCCAAAAAAGUUGCAAUAUGCUUCAGGGUACUUAGGAAGAGCAAAGACAUCGCUCUCCUUCACCACUUCACGCAACUUCUCCCACCUGUUCCUCAUUAUCUCACGACCAUACUCGAAGAAAUUAUCAGAUUCGCUCUCACAAUUCUCCUUUAGAACUUUGAGAAUCUUAGCUGCUCGUAUCUGUGACUCCUUAGACACACCAAUAGAGUUCACUAUUAUAUACUCUACCAUCUUCUUUGCCACCUCCUUGUCCUUCACCAAUGCCCACCUUCAUCAUCCAAAACAUAUUCAACCCAUUAUAAAUUUUUUUUUGUUAUAGUUAAAAACACACUUUUCUAUGACAUAAAAUCUCCUAAUAGUGACUUAAGUAACGAGUUCAACAAACUUGUGCAUGUGUUUAUAUAGUUAAACCAAAGAAAAUAAAGGAAUGAUGAAUAUCUGACCCGAUGCGGGACCCAGCGUGGCCUGUGAUCUUGGAGAAAGUGAAGAGCAUGAUGUCAUGGUCUUGACGGCGAGUGAUGGGAGUGUAGUGGGGCCAGUAAUAGGCAAAGUCAUGGAUCACUUUGCCUUCGUCGUCUUCUGGACGGUUCACCACAGUCUCUCGAAUGGUGCCAUCAGGGUUAUUGGGUGACGUCACAAGCUCGAUGUAAGGGCCUUUUUUGUCGAAACCCCAAGCGUCUCCUUCCCACUUGUACAUACCCGACCGAACAUACGUCGUCUCCUCCACAUACGUCUGUGAUUAAAAUUAAAACAAAAAGAAUUGUAUUUUUUUAAUAUUCUUGAAAAAAAAAAUGAAUUAUUACUAGAGAAGAAUGGUUUUUGGUAAAAGCGAAAGAAGAAAAAAAAAUGGGGACAUGAGCAUGUUACUGAUGUCUUUGCACAUGAAUCCACGAAAGGGGUAUGAGAGAAGGAAAAAGUGUUUUGUAAAUUGUUAAAUCAAAUUGUUUAGGAAGUGGCAGAUGUGUGUUGUGUUGUGUUCGAGAAACAUGUCUGUCACUGUGUCUUUUAGAUCUCCAAUCUUUUUUGCUUUGUUACAAGACCCCCCCCCCCCUAAAAUCUACACAUCAAAUCAACUUUUUAUUUUUAAAAAACGACUUAGGAUUUUAGCUAAUGAAUAAGACGUAGCUAAUGAAUCAUUUUCAAAGUUCCUUUUAUUUGAUGUAAAGGACCAAAGGAAAAAAAAAAUCAAAAUCCUACUUCAUUAGUGUUUUUUCUUUUCUUAAAUGUAUAUAUAUUUAUAUAUAUGACAUCCUAUAUAAGUGAAAAAUACAACAAUUGCUUCUUUGUCGGGUUUACUUUUGGGUAGGCAGUUUUUAAAGAUAGAUCCAAAGCAAAACCAGAAAAACGGUCAAAAAAUUCUGACACUAAAAAUUUUUGUUACGUUUAUAAUUAGGGUUUUUUUAUUAAAAAAAAAAAGAAAUUACUCCUCUCUAGUACGGAUUAGAUUAGAAUACUAAAUAAAAUAAAAUAAAAAUAACACCUAAAGAUAGAUCUGGACUUGAUUCAAAUCCCACUCGAAUUAUAAAAACAAUCCGUCACAGAUUCAGAAUUGUGGUUAGUCUAGCUAAAAACUCGGUUCAUUAGUCUAACAUAUUUUGUUAGUUGGAAAAAAUGCUCAUAAUUAAAUAAUGUGAAUUAAAAAAAAUCCAUGUCAACGGAAAAAACGAAGAAACUAUAUAAAUAAAAUUAAAAAAAAAACGAGAAAAAAAGAUACGAGAUACGAGGAGGAAGAGAGGAGAGAGUUUAGUGGUGGGGGCUGCUUACGGAGUAAAAAGGAGCAGCAGCGACGACACUGACAGGAUGGGACCCAGCGAGUGAAGACAGUGCGUGGACGGCCGCUUGACAAAGCUGCGUCGAGCCAGUCCCGACCACUAUGUAUCGAUCCUCCGUCGCUGCGUUUCCGACCGCACCGUGCAACUCUUUGAUCGCUUCCGCUAGCUCCGGCUCAAGAAACCAACACAGGUUGUUCACGUCGCUGAAGUAACUCAUCAGAUCCCAUCCACGUAUCGUCACCGUACACCUGUCUCCCAUCUUCCUCCAGUAUUCUUCGUACGCCGUUGGAUCUCCACUGCAACCAACAAUUUUUAUUUAUCAAAAAAAAAACAAAUUUCAGAAACUGAUUCGUUAGUGAAAAACGGAGAUUUUAUAUAAAAAAAAAAAAUUGGAGCCGAUGAUCUUGCAAUGCGGUUAAGGGUUUUUGUGAAAUUUAAAGACGUACUGGUCCAGGUUGAUGAUGGAAUCGGACAAGGCGAUGUUCUUCGAGUUCUCCACUUUCACCAUCUUCUUCUUCUCG
rnacentral:lncRNA from 1 species